rnacentral:rRNA from 1 species
CCUACGGGUGGCAGCAGUGGGGAAUAUUGCACAAUGGGGGGAACCCUGAUGCAGCGACGCCGCGUGAGUGAAGAAGUAUUUCGGUAUGUAAAGCUCUAUCAGCAGGGAAGAAAAUGACGUUACCUGACUAAGAAGCCCCGGCUAACUACGUGACAGCAGCCGCGGUAAUACGUAGGGGGCCAGCGUUAUCCGGAUUUACUGGGUGUAAAGGGAGCGCAGACGGCUGUGCAAGUCUGGAGUGAAAGGCGGGGGCCCAACCCCCGGACUGCUGUGGAAACUGGCGCACUAGAGUGCGGGAGGGGUAAGCGGAAUUCGUAGUGGAGCGGUGAAAUGCGUAGAUAUUAGGAGGAACACCGGUGGCGAAGGCGGCUUACUGGACCGUAACUGACGUUGAGGCUCGAAGGCGUGGGGAGCAAACAGGAUUAGAUACCCUAGUAGUC